ACACAGACCAAGAGCUGGUUCCACAGGAGAGGAGCCUUAUAGCUGAAGGCUCUGGCUCCCAUUUGAGUUUUAGAGACUUUAGGAACCACAAGUAACUCUGCAUUCUGGGAGCGCAAUGUUCUACUGGGACAAUAAGGUACUAUGAUGUCCUCAAGUUUUGAAGGAGCU